AUGAAGAGCAAGAGCUUUUACUCAUUUUGCUUCAACACACACAAUGAUCUCUACAUCCCUACUGCUGCUGCUUUUGGCAGCCGUGUUCACUGUGUUGAGCUGACCCAGCCUGCAUCCUCAGUAGUAACCCCUGGUCAGUCACUGACUCUGACCUGUAAAUUGUCUGGAUAUUCAGUAACUGAUGGCUACGAUACAGCCUGGAUACGACAACCUGCAGGAAAAACUCUGGAGUGGAUCGGAUAUAUAUAUGCUGGUAGUAGCACUUACUACAGUGAGAAACUGAAAAGCAGGUUUCAGAUUUCCAAAGACACGUCCAGCAACACAGUAACAUUAAAAGGACAGAACAUGCAGACUGAAGACACAGCUGUGUAUUACUGUGCUCGGGAAUACCACAGUGAGACAGAACAACAACAUUCCUGUACAAAAACCCCCAGUACAGAAACCUCAGUCCAGUGA